GAACUAAGCUGGAUAAGAGGGAGACAUUUUUGUGCAGAGAUGGAAGGAAAGAAGGAAAUGGGGGAGGGUUGCUUUUCAAGGGUAUUCAGAUUCUUUUUUUUUUUAAAUAAACAUCCUUCUUAUAGGAAUGUUCAUUUUUUAAACAUCCUGACAUCCCAUCCUGACACUACACAGCCUGAUUAGCACUCCAUCAGAAGCCCUCUUCAUGUUCCUAGAUUCUGCUUACAGCAGGGGUGAGGAGAAUCAGUUCAGGGAUUACCUCUUCCUUAUCCAAAGGAAUGAUUGUGACAGACAAUUUGAAUAAUCCUUGGGGUCAAAGGUUGCAGGUGACAGGGAUUUGGGAACUUCUAACUUGGAAUCUCCCUGUGCUCUUCCUUAGUAAACGUACGUAUGGAGGCUCGGCCUGAGGAACAGGUUUGCAUGAAACCAUUUUGCAUUGCUGUACAAAGUGCAGCGGUGCGUCAUGCGUGUCUUCCUCCAACACUGCACCCACGAGGUCAGAAAGCAGAAAUGCUGAUGAAUCAUGUUUGCGCUGGCAACCUCCUACUCAAGUUCCUUCCCAAACCUCCCUUCAGAUCAUCGCAGUGCCUUUUGGCACACAGGUGGGACAGCUGGGACCUGCCACGGUGCUUUUCUCUGCUCCUGGUGACAUCUACUGGCAGAACUAUCUCAGCUUUGGCAUUUGCUGCUGCAGAAGGCUAG
rnacentral:lncRNA from 1 species